AAAGGACCGAUAUUUUAAGUAACGCUUUUAGCUUAAAUCCACAUAACAGACACUUCGUGUCGACUUUGUGCGCAUUUUCGCUAUUAUGUGUUCUUUUAAUUAAAAUGAUUCUUUUUAAAUCUSUAAUAUUUGCUUCGGCAUUUUUGGGGAUUUGUUACUUUGAGUAAAUUAGAGUGUUCAAAGCAAACAGAUAUAGCAUUUGUGCGUAUGAAUACUACAGCAUGGAAUAACAAAAUUGAACARGUCAAAAUUUUUGGUUCUUUUUUCUUAAUUUUGGGCUUAGUUACGAUUAAUAGGAGUAGCUUGGGGGCAUUUGUAUUCAGAUGUCAGAGGUGAAAUUCUUAGAUUUUCUGGAGNCAAACAWCUGCGAAAGCAUUUGCCUAAAAUACUUCCAUUAAUCAAGAAYGAAAGUUAAGGGAGUGAAGACGAUCAGAUACCGUCGUAAUCUUAACCAUAAACUAUGCCYAMUAGGCUUUGGAUGAAAGAUUUUAAAAUAAGGGUUUUCCUUUCCCUUCGGGGUUAGGACUCUUAGAUUGCUUCCUUCAGUGCCUUAUGAGAAAUCAAAGUCUUUGGGUUCUGGGGCGAGUAUUCGCGCAAGCGAGAAAGUUAAAAGAAUUGACGGAAGGGCACCACCAGGCGUGGAGCUUGCGGCUUAAUUUGACUCAACACGGGAAAACUCACUAGUUUAAGACAAGAGUAGGAUUGACAGAUUAAUAGCUCKUUCKUGAUUUCUUGGAUGGUGAUGCAUGGCCGUUUUUAGUUCGUGAAUAUGAUUUGUCUGGUUAAUUCCGAUAACGARCGAGAUCUUAACCUGCUAAUUAGCGGCAAAUMCGAUAUAUUCUUCUGUGGAAYUGAAUAUAGUGGAUUUGYUAAAUUUUGAAGAAAAUAUUGGAAUUACUAACCGUUUUUCCUUUCCCUUUUCUACUUAAUUUACUUAUCCWACUAUUUCUUUUUCGCAUUUGAAUGUAUUUGCUUGAUUGUAAAGCUUCUUAGAGGAA
rnacentral:rRNA from 1 species